GCAAGUGCUACGUUGUGGCCGUGCACAGACCCAAAUCAGAACAAUGCAGAGAGGAUCAGCAUGGCCCCUGCACAGGAUGACACACACAUCUGUAAAGCGCGCCACAGUUUU